GUUCAGGUCUUGCCAAUGCUCGAAAACAAAAGGCUGAAAUAAGCAUGUAGAAAGCGUAUGGUUUCCUUGUGCGGACCGGAGUUCGACUCUCCGCAGGUCCACUU
rnacentral:tmRNA from 1 species